AGGCUGUGAUGACAUCUUAGGACACCUUUGGAUUAAACAUGAAAACAAACUCAUUAAACUGCUGAGCUUC